CCAGAUUAACUAUAGCAAUUCAUGUCCAGGUGACUAUUACACACAUACUAAGGUCCUGAAACAUGUUAGUUCCUUAGAUGAUAGAAUGAAACUUUUCUAUGAUGCUGUAUUUAAGAUUCCUUGUUCUUUUCCUUUUGAGAUGGGGUGUCUUACAUGUCCUCAACUGGCCUCAAACUGUGCUGGUUAGUUUUGUCAACUUGACACAAGCUAGAGUCAUCUGGAAAGAAGGAACCUCAACUGAGAAAAUAUCCCAUCAGUUAGCCUGUAGUUCCUGCCUCCAGGUUCCUGCCUUGAGUGCCUGCUCUGACUUCCAUCGGUGAUGGAGUGUGAGCUGAGAGAGUGUUGCAGGGUUAAGGACUUGACCCUCGAUGCCCAUGGAAGCGGUGUUAGCUUUUCACCUUGGAAAGUUCCUCGGAGGACCUAACCCCACUGACAGAUACAGAACUGAGCAUCCUGGCCACAUUCUCAACUUUCUUCUCUGCCUACAGAACAGACAAAGCACCGAGGAGAUGCAUGUGUCUGUCCCUUUGCCUCCGAGAACCAGGAUUCAGGAUUAGUCAGUGGGGGCAGUGGGGCAGGGAGCGUGGCUGAGUCGGUGACAGUGGUGAGCAUGUUUUACCACUGGAUCUUGGAGGCUUAAUCUGCUUACUGACGAUUAGGCUGAUGCCACCCAAACAUUUCCUUCAGUCAUCCCAGGGCCUGAGUAAGGAGUUGGCAGCUCUUAUCACAUUAGUCAUCUUUGGUGAUGGUGGGGAAGGUACAGGAGAAGUCUGUGGGGCAGGAUGCUCUCCCCAUCCCUGCAUUGUGAUUAACACAACACAUUGCCAAACACCCCGUUUGUGCUAGAAACUAAUACUUGGUUUUAUAUAAAAAAAAAAAGAUGAGCUCUUAAAGAGAUCCAAGAAGAAGUAAAGGAAAGAAGAAAGCAAAGAGACAAGUGGAAAGAUCAGAAUGAAGUCCAUAAAAAUAUUAAUUUGUAGAGUAAUUGGUAUAGUUUUCCAUGUAUAGUGUCUAUAAUAAAAUAACUGAAGUUGCCUUUAGAGAAACAUCGGUCCUAAUAGGUAUGUUAAAAGCCCUUCCUGCCCUCAAAGAGUUUGACUUUGGACACUAGGCAGCAUAGCUGUAUGAUGAAAACCAUGAGUCCACGAUCAUCGGGGCAAAGGGUAACAUUUGGGUGUUUUUAGAAGCUGUUUACAUGCUUCCUUCCCUCUGAUGUCCCCUCAAGGUUUCAGCCUGCAGGUGAGUUGUGGGAGGGGCCUUGGCUGUGUGUGGUUGCAGAGAAAGAGGAUGUUCCUGCCCUGUCUUUCCAUCACACCCAUCACUACCCACAAACACGCUUGUCAUACCAUCUAGGUGGCUCCCUGAAGAUGCUGGAGGCAUACUCUUAUAGGGUGGGGACAAGAGGCUGAGAUACAAAAGAAAAAAAAAAUCAAAACAAUCAUCAGGUUUUCCCUCUGCUGCUUCCUUUCCCUAGUCCUAAAUACACGGACAUGGGAGGUUUUGCUUAAAUGUCUCAGAAGCAGAGUCUUCCCUUAAGACAAGAACCUGAAAAAGAUGACUAAGAAUGCAUGGGGAGAAUGAGGACUGGUCACCUGUGCUCCAAAUCGAUCAUCUAGUCAGAAGGGCCCUAAACCAAGGCUAGCAGAGACCAGAACAGCAGGCCUUCUGGGCCAACCAUUAGUUCUACUCCGUGGCUGCCCUUUGGUUGUAGCACAAUGGUGGCUUGACCCCUUGCCCAUCAGUAUCCUGGACUCACACGGCUCUGUGAUGCAGAAGGAGUACAUGUGUGACAUCACAUUGCUUUUCACACUGACCCACAUGACAUCUUCCUGCGUGUGAGUUUAAUGGGUCAUGAUUCCUGAGCAUCUCUGGGUGACUUUGGGAGGCUGGCCAUACUCAUUGUGAACCCACGGAGGCACGGCCGAGUUUUCUUCCUAAAGUUCUGGAUGACUCACUUUAAGUUCUCAAAGGGUCAGCAAGAUGGCUUAGCGGGUUAAGGCUCUUGCCUCCAAGCCCCGGGAGCUAGGUUCAAUGCCUGGAACUUACAUGGUGGCAGGAGAGAAUCAAUGCUCCCAAUUUGUCCUCUGACCUCCACAAGUGGGCUGUGGUGUGUAUUCGCUCCCCAACACAAGUACACACACACUACAUAAAAGAAUGUGUAAGUUCUCAGGUCUUUCCCCCAUUCUAUGAUAAUAUUUGUGUGUCCCUUUCCUAAAGAAAGAGAAUUGAGAAAGAACAAAUUGUUCCCCGUCUACACAGUGGCGACAACUCAUACCCUUGUAUCAAAUGAUCCACAGGACAUGCCAGUUGGUUUUAUCUGAAGACUAAUGCUGUUUCAAGCCCCAAAUAAGGAAUUUUGACACAAAGUGGAAAAUGAGGCAAGGGUAAGCAGAAUGCUGGUUGGAGUUUUUUCUGAAAUUUCUGCGGACUGGAGUUUGGAUUUAAAAUUUUCCACUCAUAACUUACAUUAUCAAUUUGUAAAACUAUGGCCACAAGUAUGUUGGGAAGGACGACCCUGUGACUUCUGAACAGUUACUUAACUACAGUGUGAUUUAAUCAAAGGUUCCAACAACCACAGGGGCAAAAGGCCAGGGAAGGAGCCGACUCAGACAGGCAGCGCUGUCUUUAGCAUGCAAUUAUUAUGCACGCGAGUCAAGGGCAUUGGUUGAAAUCAGA